rnacentral:lncRNA from 1 species
GGUGGAAUGAGUUAGACAUCAUUCUAGUAUAUGUAUGAAGACACGAAUGGUGUGAAAAUACUUUGUGAACAACCAGUGACUUGAAAAUUUGACCUCUAUAUGUGUAAUAUGAAAUGAAUUGCAUUCUGCCAUCAUGUAUAACAAAUUAGAAUAAAGGGAAAAAAAGAGAAUAUAGAAGUGACUUCCUCCACUUGGUUGUCACGUAGCUUCUUAGAUCCUGUUCGUAUAUCAUGGAGAAAGAAUUUAAAAACAUAUCAGAAUCAUAAACUAUCUUGAGUUUUCCUGGCUGCAUAGCUUUACAGAUGGUUAUCCUGUUGAAAAUGGACAGGGAGGAACUAUUUCUAAAAUUGGAAAUCAAAAGGAGGGAAAAUCAACAGAAGAGAUUCAUGCUCAAAGCUUGAGUCCAUAAAAAAAACAAUAACAGUCUGUGUGUAUUUGUAAUGACUGGAUAGGAUAUAUCUGUGGUCAAGAAAGGGAACAGCUCACUUUGAUAGAAUUAUGUCCUGUGUCACAGAGGAGCAAAGAGUAUUUUGGUCAAAUAUUUUCCCAUGAAUGGUAAUAAACUAAUGGAGUGGAUUCCAUAAAGGGUUUUCUGAGUAAGGAACAUUAAUGAGCUCAACAGACAUUCAUUCAAUGACUCAGUGACACAAAUACUAUUUCUACCACACAUAAGAAGAAAAUCAACUUUGGUAUUUAUGCAAGUGCACACACUGAAUCCUCCAGGCUUACUCUAUUCAAAUGACAGCCUAUCUCUAGGUUAACUCUGUGGCAUCACUAAUGGGUUUUUUACCUGAUUGCUCUAACUCCUGUUUUCAGAGAAUAAGGGAAGGGAGUAGGAUAAAGGAGAAAUUGAGAAAGAAACAAAGUGAUGAUAAAAAAAUGGCUUUCCUGAAAAAAAUAGAAAUUUAAAGCCUUCAUUACCUUAUAUAAUAAAAAUUUUCCAAAACUACAUUCACAGGAAGCAAAACAUAUUGACAAGAAUUUUUUUAUAUGAAAAUCUGAACUUGACAGCUACACUUUAGCAUCUGUCUCCUUGCCUAAAUAAACAUUACUCUGUCAGGUACCCCCAGUGGAUAUGUAGUCACCAAAUUCAAUGACUACCUUCUUAUUCAACUUUCUAUACUGCUGCAAAGAAUUUGCUUUUGUUGGCCUCCCCAUGUGGUUUAGCUUUUCCACUGCUGUGACUAAAUGACCUGACCAGCACAACCAUAGAGGAAAAAAAUGUUUAUUUUAGGGCUCACAGUUUCAGAGGUCUUAGCCCAUAGAAGGCCAGCUCCCCAUUCCUCAGGGCUUGAGGUAAGACAGAACAUCAUGGUGGAAGAGAGUGGCAG